CAAAAAGGAAAACCGGAAGAUCGAGGACGGCGGAUAUACAAGUCGUUGUUAUGAUACGUACAUGAAACAAAGCGGCGUCUGCCGACCAUUUUCACACCGCUCUCACUCACCUCUUAGCUUCAGUUCCAGAUGGCCAUGUCACUCUGAAAAU